rnacentral:rRNA from 1 species
AGCGGCGAACGGGUGAGGAAUAUGUAGAUUAUUUGCCUUUUAGUGAGGGAUAACUUCGAGAAAUCGAAGCUAAUACCGCAUAUGUCCUUUCGAUGUUUAAUCAUUAGGGUAAAGGAUUUAUCCGCUAAAGGAGAAGUCUGCAUCGUAUCAGCUAGUUGGUGGGGUAAUGGCCCACCAAGGCUAUGACGCGUAGCUGGUGUGAGAGCAUGACCAGCCACAAUGGAACUGAGAUACGGUCCAUACUCCUACGGGAGGCAGCAGUAAGGAAUUUUCCGCAAUGGACGAAAGUCUGACGGAGCAAUACCGCGUACGGGAUGAAGGACUUAGGUUCGUAAACCGUUUUUCUGAAGGAGCAAAGUUUAUGAGUUAACUUCAGGAAUAAGUGCCAGCUAACUACGUGCCAGCAGCUGCGGUAAUACGUGGGGCACAAGCGUUACCCGGAAUCAUUGGGCGUAAAGCGUUCGUAGGCGGUUGUAAAAGUCUAGUGUUAAAUCUUCAAGCUCAACUUGAAGAAUGCAUUGGAAACUAUAUAACUAGAGAAAUACAGAGGCAAGUGGAAUGUUGUGUGUAGGGGUCAAAUCCGUAGAUACACAAUAGAACACCAAAAGCGAAGGCAGCUUGCUGGGUAUUUUCUGACGCCGAUGAACGAAAGCGUGGGGAGCGAACAGGAUUAGAUACCCUGGUAGUCCACGCCCUAAACGAUGGAUACUCGGUGUUGGGGGAGUCGAUCCCUUCAGUGCCUGAGCUAACGCGUUAAGUAUCCCGCCUGAGAAGUACGGUCGCAAGAUUAAAACUCAAAGGAAUAGACGGGGACCCACACAAGCGGUGGAACAUGUAGUUUAAUCCGAAGUUGAACGAGGAACCUUACCUAGGCUUGACAUCUUGGGAAUCUUAUAGAAAUAUAGGAGUGCCGCAAGGAACCCAAAGACAGGUGUUGCAUGGUUGUCGUCAGCUCGUGCCUUGAGGUGUCCUGUUAAGUCAGUGAACGAGCGCAACCCUUGCCAUGAUUUGCACAUGUAUCAUGGGACUGCCGAUUAUAAGUCGGAGGAAGGAGAGGACGAAGUCAAAUCUGCAUGGCCCUUAUGCCUAGGGCUACACACGUGUUACAAUGGGAUGUACAAACGGUUGCGAAGCCGAAAGGUGAAGCUAAUCCGAGAAAGCAUCUCUUAGUUCGGAUUGGGGGCUGCAAUUCGCCCCCAUGAAGUUGGAAUCGCUAGUAAUCGUAAAUCAGACAUGUUACGGUGAAUGUGUUCCUGGGUCUUGUACUCACCGCCCGUCAACUCAUGGGAGACAGGGGUAUCUGAAGUCGGUUUACCCGCAAGGGGGCUGCCCAAGGUAAAACUGUUGACUGGGAGUAAGUCGAAACAAGGUA